rnacentral:lncRNA from 1 species
UUGCUAAAUGGUAAAUAUUCAUUAGUUAAAAUGAAACUAAAAAGUUGCAUAAGCCCCAAAAAAAAGUGUAAAAAGACUUAUGGAGCAGACCGGUAGAAUUAAAAUCUGAAACAAAUUUUAAAAACUACAAUUUCUGAUCAACUUCCGCCAAGGCGGGUAGGAAAACGACGACGUCAUUUAGCACGAACCCUAGUCUCCCGACGACGCUUCCAGGUACGAACCCUAGACUCCCGACGACGCUUUGAAUACAAACCGAAAGACCGGAAAGACUCGCCACACGAACCCAGCAGAGACUGAUGACACCCAUCCUUAGCACGAACCCAGCAGAAACCGACGACGCUUCACGACACGAACCCAGCGAAUUCCUAAGACAAUACUACCAAAGAUCUGAAAAGCGAGCAGGUAACCGAACCCGUCACUACCAAGAGCAAAAGGGAAAGCGGGUUGAAUAGCGGCAGCUACUCCACGAAAUGUAGCACUUUGACACACCGGGACCGAGCAGUCCGCAACCACCAGAGACUCACUCUAGUGCUGGGAUGUUGGAAACUACUCCUCAGGCCACCGAGACCAGACCAAACCGAAUGACACACCAGUAUAGAACAGGUCUCCUCAGGAACCGUCACUGAGAACCAGUGACAAGCUCGAUCGAGACAGGAGAUUAGCUUGCACGAGCAAAGCUAUAACUCCAUAAGACGUGACUAAAGCGCAGCUCAGAAACGGUGAGCCUCCACGAAAGAAUCAACCGUGAGAGUGUGACGGGAGAGCCAUGACCGGAGAAGAUCAAGGCGGAAGCAUCUCUGUCACGGCAGGAUAACAUAGCCAUAGACGAAUCAUCACCGACACCGUGCAUUGAACAACACACGCCGUCGUCAAAGCGGAAGAGCCGACAUACGACGAAUCCUACACUUUGGACGCGCCUUUGUGGAUUAACCACUCAGAAACCACCUGAACGGUAGCCACACUAGCCUCCUCCGACGAGACGCCAAGCGAAGGAAUGCAUCACGCGCCACUGCUCCACUCCGUCCGAACUCCGAUGAAAUAAACACGACGAUGAAGAACAGAUCCGGUACGGAGG